AGCGAACGCUGGCGGCAGGCUUAACACAUGCAAGUCGAGCGCCCCGCAAGGGGAGCGGCAGACGGGUGAGUAACACGUGGGAACGUACCUUUUGGUUCGGAACAGCUGAGGGAAACUUCAGCUAAUACCGGAUAAGCCCUUACGGGGAAAGAUUUAUCGCCGAAAGAUCGGCCCGCGUCUGAUUAGCUAGUUGGUGAGGUAAUGGCUCACCAAGGCGACGAUCAGUAGCUGGUCUGAGAGGAUGAUCAGCCACACUGGGACUGAGACACGGCCCAGACUCCUACGGGAGGCAGCAGUGGGAAAUAUUGGACAAUGGGGGCAACCCUGAUCCAGCCAUGCCGCGUGGGUGAUGAAGGCCCUAGGGUUGUAAAGCUCUUUUAACGGGGAAGAUAAUGACGGUACCCGUAGAAUAAGCCCCGGCUAACUUCGUGCCAGCCGCCGCAGUAACAC
rnacentral:rRNA from 1 species